GACGAACGCUGGCGGCGUGCUUAACACAUGCAAGUCGAAGAUAGUGGCGAACGGGUGAGUAAUACGUGGGUAACCUGCCCUCCUUAUUGGGAUAAGCAUUGGAAACGGGGUCUAAUACCGAAUAAAGGGGGAGGGGCUCGCGGACUAUCGGCUUGUUGGUGGGGUGAUGGCGUACCAAUGAGGUGACGGGUGGCAGGGCUGAGAGGCUGAACGGCAACAUAGUGACGGGCAUAACUCCGAGACGAGGAAGGGAGGGAGCAGUUGGGGAUAUGGAACAAAGGGCGAAAGCCUGAUGCAGCGACGCCGCAGAGGGGAUGAAGACUUUCGAGUUGUAAACCUCUUUAGGUAUCAAAAGGGUAGGUGGAGAAGAAGCGCCGGCUAACUACGUGCCAGCAGCCGCGGUAAUUC
rnacentral:rRNA from 1 species